UGGGGAAUAUUGCGCAAUGGGCGAAAGCCUGACGCAGCAACGCCGCGUGAGUGAUGAAGGCCUUCGGGUCGUAAAGCUCUGUCGGAGGGAACGAAUGCUCCUGAAGUUAACAGCCUCAGGAGGUGACGGUACCCUCAAAGGAAGCACCGGCUAACUCUGUGCCAGCAGCCGCGGUAAUACAGAGGGUGCAAGCGUUGUUCGGAAUCAUUGGGCGUAAAGGGCGUGUAGGCGGUAUGUUAAGUCGUGUGUGAAAUCCCUCGGCUCAACCGGGGAACGACGCAUGAAACUGGCAAGCUAGAGUACCAAAGAGGGUGGUGGAAUUUCCUGUGUAGCGGUGAAAUGCGUAGAUAUAGGAAGGAACACCAGUGGCGAAGGCGACCACCUGGACUGAUACUGACACUGAGGUGCGAAAGCGUGGGGAGCAAACGGGAUUAGAUACCCCUGUAGUCCCUGAGCGGGCUGGCAAGGCGCAU
rnacentral:rRNA from 1 species